rnacentral:rRNA from 1 species
ACUCUUCCGACGAGGGGUGGCGCAGUGAUAAAUCGAUGGGGAUAGUCGAACAAUCUGGGAAGGUUGACUAGAGAGGGUGAGAGUCCCGUAGGUGUAAUUCUUGUGACUGUGGAUCGUGUCCCCGAGUAGCACGGGGCUCGUGGAAUCUCGUGUGAAUCUGCCAAGACCACUUGGUAAGGCUAAAUACCCUUUGUGACCGAUAGCGGAUAGUACCGUGAGGGAAUGGUGAAAAGUACCCCGGGAGGGGAGUGAAAUAGUGCCUGAAAACCGGGGCGCCUACAAUCCGUCAGAGCCUCUUUAAUUGGGGUGAUGGCGUGCCUUUUGAAGAAUGAGCCUGCGAGUUAGCGGCAUGUAGCGAGGUUAACCCGUGUGGGGUAGUCGUAGCGAAAGCGAGUCUGAAUAGGGCGUUGAGUUGCAUGUUCUAGACCCGAAGCGGGGUGAUCUACCCAUGGCCAGGUUGAAGCACGUGUAAGAGCGUGUGGAGGACCGAACCCACUUCAGUUGAAAAAUGGAGGGGAUGAGCUGUGGGUAGGGGUGAAAGGCC